rnacentral:rRNA from 1 species
UACGGGGGGGGCAAGCGUUGUUCGGAAUUACUGGGCGUAAAGGGCUCGUAGGUGGCCAACUAAGUCGAACGUGAAAUCCCUAGGCUCAACCUAGGAACUGCGUCCGAUACUGGCAGGCUUGAAUUCGGGAGAGGGAUGCGGAAUUCCAGGUGUAGCGGUGAAAUGCGUAGAUAUCUGGAGGAACACCGGUGGCGAAGGCGGCAUCCUGGACCGAGAUUGACGCUGAGGCGCGAAAGCCAGGGGAGCAAACGGG